rnacentral:tRNA from 1 species
CCCUGGGUGGUGCAAAUGGUUAACACGUUCAUCUGCUACCUGAAAGCUUAGAGGUUCAAGUCCACCCAGGGG